UGAAAAGAAGCGAUUACGCAAUCGGUUUCGGCCCGAAGACUGGGAAUUGCCUUUUUCCCCUUUUCAA
rnacentral:tRNA from 1 species